GACGUAGGGCGCGAGCGUUGUCCGGAUUUAUUGGGCGUAAAGAGCUCGUAGGCGGUCUGUUGCGUCCGCUGUGAAAACUCGGGGCUUAACCCCGAGCCUGCAGUGGAUACGGGCAGACUAGAGGUAGGUAGGGGAGAAUGGAAUUCCCGGUGUAGCGGUGAAAUGCGCAGAUAUCUGGAGGAACACCGGUGGCGAAGGCGGCAUCCUGGACCGGCAUUGACGCUGAGGCGCGAAAGCUAGGGGAGCAAACGGG
rnacentral:rRNA from 1 species